GUAUUCUUUUUGCCAGCGCUUAAUUGCGCGGCGAAAAAACCUUACACACAGUGUUUUUUGUUAUUACAAGAACUUUUGCUUUGGUCUGGACUAGAAAUAGUUUGGGCCAGAGGUUUACUGAACUAAACUUCAAUAUUUAUAUUGAAUUGUUAUUUAUUUAAUUGUCAAUUUGUUGAUUAAAUUCAAAAAAUCUUCAAAACUUUCAACAACGGAUCUCUUGGUUCUCGCAUCGAUGAAGAACGCAGCGAAAUGCGAUAAGUAAUAUGAAUUGCAGAUUUUCGUGAAUCAUCGAAUCUUUGAACGCACAUUGCGCCCUCUGGUAUUCCAGAGGGCAUGCCUGUUUGAGCGUCAUUUCUCUCUCAAACCUUCGGGUUUGGUAUUGAGUGAUACUCUUAGUCGAACUAGGCGUUUGCUUGAAAUGUAUUGGCAUGAGUGGUACUGGAUAGUGCUAUAUGACUUUCAAUGUAUUAGGUUUAUCCAACUCGUUGAAUAGUUUAAUGGUAUAUUUCUCGGUAUUCUAGGCUCGGCCUUACAAUAUAACAAACAAGUUUGACCUCAAAUCAGGUAGGAUUACCCGCUGAACUUUAAGCAUAUCAAUAAGCGGAGGAAAAGAAACCAACAGGGAUUGCCUUAGUAACGGCGAGUGAAGCGGCAAAAGCUCAAAUUUGAAAUCUGGCACCUUCGG
rnacentral:rRNA from 1 species